rnacentral:rRNA from 1 species
CAAUAGCGUAUAUUAAAGCUGUUGCGGUUAAAAAGCUCGUAGUUGGAUUUCUGUCAAGGACAACUGGUCCGCCCUCCGGGUGAGCACAUAGUUUGGUCUUGGCAUCUUGUUCAAAACUGUUACUGCGCUUGGUUGUGUGGUGCAGUUUUGGGCACUUUCACUUUGAGGAAAUUGGAGUGUUUCAAGCAGGCACAUGCCUUUGGACACAGUAGCAUGGAAUAAUUAGAUUGGGCUUUUGCUCCAACUUGUCGGUUCCUGGAGCUGAGGUGAGAAUCAAUGGGGAUUGUUGGGGGCAUCUGAAUUUAGCCGUCAGAGGUGAAAUUCUUGGAUCUGCUAAAGACGGACAACUGCGAAAGCGCUUGCCCAGGAUGUUUUCAUUGA